rnacentral:lncRNA from 1 species
UUUGCAUUACUAUCCUUUAUCUUUAUCAUGUUUGUUUUACUCAGAUAUUAGUGUCGUGACAUUACCUUCGACAUCUCAUAUCUGAUACCAGAAUUUCAAUUGGUAUCAGAGCAGGCAUCCUGCUCUUGUUCUGGGUGAGAUCUAGGGACAAUACUUUCUGGUACUAUGGAGAGAGAUGGAGGAUCUGUUCACAGGCCACCAAUUCUGGACAGAUCUAACUAUGACU